GGGUUGUGAGGUUAAGCGACUAAGCGUACACGGUGGAUGCCCUGGCAGUCAGAGGCGAUGAAGGGCGUGCUAAUCUGCGAUAAGCGCCGGUAAGGUGAUAUGAACCGUUAUAACCGGCGAUACCCGAAUGGGGAAACCCAGUGUGAUUCGUCACACUAUCAUUAACUGAAUCCAUAGGUUAAUGAGGCGAACCGGGGGAACUGAAACAUCUAAGUACCCCGAGGAAAAGAAAUCAACCGAGAUUCCCCCAGUAGCGGCGAGCGAACGGGGAGGAGCCCAGAGCCUGAAUCAGCAUGUGUGUUAGUGGAAGCGUCUGGAAAGGCGCGCGAUACAGGGUGACAGCCCCGUACACAAAAGCGCAUGUGCUGUGAGCUCGAUGAGUAGGGCGGGACACGUGGUAUCCUGUCUGAAUAUGGGGGGACCAUCCUCCAAGGCUAAAUACUCCUGACUGACCGAUAGUGAACCAGUACCGUGAGGGAAAGGCGAAAAGAACCCCGGCGAGGGGAGUGAAAAAGAACCUGAAACCGUGUACGUACAAGCAGUGGGAGCACCCUUUGGGUGUGACUGCGUACCUUUUGUAUAAUGGGUCAGCGACUUAUAUUCUGUAGCAAGGUUAACCGAAUAGGGGAGCCGGAGGGAAACCGAGUCUUAACCGGGCGUUAAGUUGCAGGGUAUAGACCCGAAACCCGGUGAUCUAGCCAUGGGCAGGUUGAAGGUUGGGUAACACUAACUGGAGGACCGAACCGACUAAUGUUGAAAAAUUAGCGGAUGACCUGUGGCUGGGGGUGAAAGGCCAAUCAAACCGGGAGAUAGCUGGUUCUCCCCGAAAGCUAUUUAGGUAGCGCCUCGUGAAUUCAUCUCCGGGGGUAGAGCACUGUUUCGGCUAGGGGGCCAUCCCGGCUUACCAACCCGAUGCAAACUGCGAAUACCGGAGAAUGUUAUCACGGGAGACACACGGCGGGUGCUAACGUCCGUCGUGAAGAGGGAAACAACCCAGACCGCCAGCUAAGGUCCCAAAGUCAUGGUUAAGUGGGAAACGAUGUGGGAAGGCCCAGACAGCCAGGAUGUUGGCUUAGAAGCAGCCAUCAUUUAAAGAAAGCGUAAUAGCUCACUGGUCGAGUCGGCCUGCGCGGAAGAUGUAACGGGGCUAAACCAUGCACCGAAGCUGCGGCAGCGACACUGUGUGUUGUUGGGUAGGGGAGCGUUCUGUAAGCCUGUGAAGGUGUGUCGUGAGGCAUGCUGGAGGUAUCAGAAGUGCGAAUGCUGACAUAAGUAACGAUAAAGCGGGUGAAAAGCCCGCUCGCCGGAAGACCAAGGGUUCCUGUCCAACGUUAAUCGGGGCAGGGUGAGUCGACCCCUAAGGCGAGGCCGAAAGGCGUAGUCGAUGGGAAACGGGUUAAUAUUCCCGUACUUGGUGUUACUGCGAAGGGGGGACGGAGAAGGCUAUGUUGGCCGGGCGACGGUUGUCCCGGUUUAAGCGUGUAGGUGUGUGUUCCAGGUAAAUCCGGUUCACUUUAACACUGAGGCGUGACGACGAGGCACUACGGUGCUGAAGCAACAAAUGCCCUGCUUCCAGGAAAAGCCUCUAAGCAUCAGGUAACAUCAAAUCGUACCCCAAACCGACACAGGUGGUCAGGUAGAGAAUACCAAGGCGCUUGAGAGAACUCGGGUGAAGGAACUAGGCAAAAUGGUGCCGUAACUUCGGGAGAAGGCACGCUGACACGUAGGUGAAGUGAUUUACUCAUGGAGCUGAAGUCAGUCGAAGAUACCAGCUGGCUGCAACUGUUUAUUAAAAACACAGCACUGUGCAAACACGAAAGUGGACGUAUACGGUGUGACGCCUGCCCGGUGCCGGAAGGUUAAUUGAUGGGGUCAGCGCAAGCGAAGCUCCUGAUCGAAGCCCCGGUAAACGGCGGCCGUAACUAUAACGGUCCUAAGGUAGCGAAAUUCCUUGUCGGGUAAGUUCCGACCUGCACGAAUGGCGUAAUGAUGGCCAGGCUGUCUCCACCCGAGACUCAGUGAAAUUGAACUCGCUGUGAAGAUGCAGUGUACCCGCGGCAAGACGGAAAGACCCCGUGAACCUUUACUAUAGCUUGACACUGAACAUUGAGCCUUGAUGUGUAGGAUAGGUGGGAGGCUUUGAAGUGUGGACGCCAGUCUGCAUGGAGCCGACCUUGAAAUACCACCCUUUAAUGUUUGAUGUUCUAACGUGGACCCGUUACCCGGGUUGCGGACAGUGUCUGGUGGGUAGUUUGACUGGGGCGGUCUCCUCCUAAAGAGUAACGGAGGAGCACGAAGGUUGGCUAAUCCUGGUCGGACAUCAGGAGGUUAGUGCAAUGGCAUAAGCCAGCUUGACUGCGAGCGUGACGGCGCGAGCAGGUGCGAAAGCAGGUCAUAGUGAUCCGGUGGUUCUGAAUGGAAGGGCCAUCGCUCAACGGAUAAAAGGUACUCCGGGGAUAACAGGCUGAUACCGCCCAAGAGUUCAUAUCGACGGCGGUGUUUGGCACCUCGAUGUCGGCUCAUCACAUCCUGGGGCUGAAGUAGGUCCCAAGGGUAUGGCUGUUCGCCAUUUAAAGUGGUACGCGAGCUGGGUUUAGAACGUCGUGAGACAGUUCGGUCCCUAUCUGCCGUGGGCGCUGGAGAACUGAGGGGGGCUGCUCCUAGUACGAGAGGACCGGAGUGGACGCAUCACUGGUGUUCGGGUUGUCAUGCCAAUGGCACUGCCCGGUAGCUAAAUGCGGAAGAGAUAAGUGCUGAAAGCAUCUAAGCACGAAACUUGCCCCGAGAUGAGUUCUCCCUGAGACUUAGAGUCUCCUGAAGGAACGUUGAAGACGACGACGUUGAU
rnacentral:rRNA from 1 species